AACGAACGCUGGCGGCGUGCCUAACACAUGCAAGUCGAACGAUACCUUCGGGUCUAGUUUCGCACGGGUGCGUAACUGGUGGGAACCUGCGUAUAGCGUGGGAAUCACUCCGAGUAAUUUGAGCUAACCCCGGAUAAUGUUUUCGAACCCAAGAUUUAUCGCCUUUGGAUGUGGGCGCGUUGGAUUAGGGAGUUGGUGGGGUAGGGGCCUACCACGGCGACGAUCCAUAGUUGGUCUGAGAGGUGGACAAGCCACACUGGGACAGGGACACGGCCUGGACUGCUACGUGAGGCAGCAGUGGGGAAUAGUGGAAGAUGGGCGAAGGGAUGAUCCAGCGAUUCCGCGUUGGUGAUGAAGUUCUUAGGGGAGGAAAGCCUGUUUACCUGGUAGGAUAAUGACAGUAACCGGAGAAUAAGCCCCGGCUUACUCCGUG
rnacentral:rRNA from 1 species